GCGCGCGUGGCGAAAUUGGUAGACGCGAUAGACUUAGGAUCUAUUAUCGCAAGGUGUGGGGGUUCGAGUCCCCCCGUGCGCACCA
rnacentral:tRNA from 1 species